CAUGUCCUUUUGAAUUUAAUUUAAGGUCUAAUCUGCUCAAUGAUAUUUAAAUAGCCGCAGUAUUUUGACUGUGCAAAGGUAGCAUAAUAAUUAGUUUCUUAAUUGGGAGCUGGAAUGAAUGAUUGGACAAGAAAAUUUCUGUCUCUUUCUUAAUUUUAUUGAAUUUUAUUUUUAAGUGAAAAAGCUUAAAUUUUUAUAAAAGACGAGAAGACCCUAUAGAGUUUAAUAAUUAAUUUUAAUAAGAGUUUAGUAUUAUUAUUUAGGAUUAAAUUAUUUGGUUGGGGUGAUUAAAAGAUUAAAAAAAUUCUUUUAUAAAUUUAAUUGAAUAUUUUCAAUUUUUAAAUCUAUAAUUUAUAAAAUUAAAAUAAAUUACCUUAGGGAUAACAGCGUAAUUUUUCUUUAAAGUUCUUAUUAAUAGAAAAGUUUGCGACCUCGAUGUUGGAUUAAAAUUAAUUUUUGGUGCAGUAACUAAAAAAUUAGGUCUGUUCGACCUUUAAAAUUUUACAUGAUCUGAGUUUAGACCGGUGUGAGCCAGGUCGGAUUCUAUCUUUAGAAAUUUUUUAUAUUUUAGUACGAAAGGACCAAAUAUAAAUUAAAUUAAUUGU
rnacentral:rRNA from 1 species